rnacentral:rRNA from 1 species
GACGAACGCUGGCGGCGUGCUUAACACAUGCAAGUCGAACGGAGUGGCGAACGGGUGAGUAACACGUGGGUGAUCUGCCUUGCACUUCGGGAUAAGCUUGGGAAACUGGGUCUAAUACCGGAUAGUGCAAGAUGAGCUCGCGGCCUAUCAGCUUGUUGGUGGGGUAAUGGCCUACCAAGGCGUCGACGGGUAGCCGGCCUGAGAGGGGGUACGGCCACCUGACGCCUACGGUACGGCCCAGACUCCUACGGGCGGCAGCGGUCGGGAAUCUUACCGAAUGGGCGGAAGUCUGAUACAGAGGCGCCGCGUGGGUGAUGAAGGCCUUCGGGUUGUAAACUCCUUUCGACAGGGACGCGGUACCUGUAUAAGAAGCACCGGCUAACUACGUGCCAGCAGCCGCGGUAAUUC